rnacentral:rRNA from 1 species
GACAGAGGUGCCGAGCGUUAGGCGGAAUCACUGGGCUUAAAGCGUGUGUAGGCGGGCGGGCAAGUACCUUGUGAAAUCCCACGGCUCAACCGUGGAACGGCUGGGUAUACUGCCUGUCUUGAGCCAACUAGGGGCGAGCGGAACAGACGGUGGAGCGGUGAAAUGCGUAGAUAUCGCUUGGAACGCCAAUGGUGAAAACAGCAGGCUGGGGGGUGUGCUGACGCUGAGACGCGAAAGCCAGGGGAGCAAACGGG